rnacentral:rRNA from 1 species
UACGUAGGCGGCAAGCGUUGUCCGGAAUCAUUGGGCGUAAAGGGAGCGCAGGCGGACAUUUAAGCGUAUCUUAAAAGUGCGGGGCUCAACCCCGUGAUGGGAUAGGAACUGGAUGUCUUGAGUGCAGGAGAGGAAAGCGGAAUUCCCAGUGUAGCGGUGAAAUGCGUAGAUAUUGGGAAGAACACCAGUGGCGAAGGCGGCUUUCUGGACUGUAACUGACGCUGAGGCUCGAAAGCUAGGGUAGCGAACGGG